AUUCUCAGUUCGGAUUGUAGGCUGAAACUCGCCUACAUGAAGCUGGAGUUACUAGUAAUCGCAGAUCAGAAUGCUGCGGUGAAUGCGUUCCCGGGCCUUGUACACACCGCCCGUCAUACCAUGGGAGUUUGUAACGCCCAAAGUCGGUGGCCUAACCUUUAUGGAGGGAGCCGCCUAAGGCGGGACAGAUGACUGGGGUGAAGUCGUAACAAGGUACC
rnacentral:rRNA from 1 species